UACGAAGGGGGCUAGCGUUGCUCGGAAUUACUGGGCGUAAAGCGCACGUAGGCGGUCUUUUUAAGUCGGGGGUGAAAUCCUGGAGCUCAACUCCAGAACUGCCUUCGAUACUGGAAGACUUGAGUCCGGGAGAGGUGAGUGGAACUGCGAGUGUAGAGGUGAAAUUCGUAGAUAUUCGCAAGAACACCAGUGGCGAAGGCGGCUCACUGGCCCGGUACUGACGCUGAGGUGCGAAAGCGUGGAGAGCAAACAGG
rnacentral:rRNA from 1 species